UGAAGGGUGCAGGAUCAAGAAAGCAGUGUUUUGUCUUCUUUACUUUUCUAUCUUUUCCUUUCUUUUCUUAACAACGGGAGAGAUCUGACCACUAUUUGCUAAGCUGGAAGGAAGGAGCCAGUGGAGAUAUUUUCUGAUAUCUUGACUACGUUGACAGUGAUCCCACAGUGACAGCUAACGCUGGGAAAAUUCUACAGUCCCAUUUUAACUACAAGAUGUGGAAGAAGACACAGAAGACCAAGGGGAAUGGAGUCGAUGGGUCAUAGAGCACAAAUGCUCUUUCCCGGAAGGUUUGAGAGGACCCGGGUGUGUACAUCCUUGCCAACAAUAGAAGCCAGCUGCUGGGAGUUACUCUGUGGAGAAGCCCACAUGGCAAAGGACUAAGGGUGGCUCCAGCCAACGAUGAGUGAGAAACUGAGAUCUCAGUCCGGUGGGCCAGUAAGGAAUGCAAUCCUGCCAACAGGCAUGUCAGCCCAGCGGCACAGCAGUUAAGUUCGCAUGUUCCACUUUGGCGUCCCAGGCUUUGCCAGUUCGGAUUCCCGGUGGAGACAUACACACCGUUUGUCGAGCCAUGCUGUGAUCUUGAGAAAAGGGCCAAAGAAACAGCAGACACCUCAGUCCUGAUAUCCAGAGCCACAAAGCCAACGCCAGCAACCGGGCUUCUCAUUACACAAGAAAAAACAAGCACCUGUCUUGUUUAAGGCGCUGUUACUUGAGUUUUCUGUUUCAUGCACUGAAGUGAAUCCCUGAGACAUCUGUAAAGCUGCGCUAACACAGUGCUGUCAGUUCCUGGAGUCACCCCGCUUACCUGUCUGCAUAAAAGGAUGCACUGCUUCCACACAUGGAUUUUGCUAAAUUUUACAUUUCAGCACCUUAAUAAAAGUCAUUAGGCAAAUCCAAUUUUGUCUAUAUGUGAAAACCUUUUGAGAGAGUGGGUCCCAUAAGAAGAGCACAGCAUCUGUUUAGUGAAAAGGCAAGACAACGAGAGAAAGGAAGGUCGGCGUCCUCAGAGACAGAUUCCUUCACAACAGAGCACUGAAAAGGAAUUAGGC
rnacentral:lncRNA from 1 species